rnacentral:rRNA from 1 species
GCACUGCUCAGUAACACGUGGACAACCUGCCCUGAGGACUGGAAUAAUCCCGGGAAACUGGGGGUAAUUCCAGAUAUGUCAGAACUCCUGGAAUGGGUUCUGGCAGAAAGGCUCCGGCGCCUCAGGAUGGGUCUGCGGCCUAUCAGGGUAGUAGUGGGUGUGACGUACCUACUAGCCUACGACGGGUACGGGUUGUGAGAGCAAGAGCCCGGAGAUGGAUUCUGAGACAUGAAUCCAGGCCCUACGGGGUGCAGCAGGCGCGAAAACUUUACAAUGCGGGCAACCGCGAUAAGGGGACCUCGAGUGCUGGGUUACAAACCUGGCUGUUGGGCUGCCUAAAAAGCAGUCUAUAGCAAGGGCCGGGCAAGACCGGUGCCAGCCGCCGCGGUAACACCGGCGGCUCGAGUGGUAACCGCUAUUAUUGGGUCUAAAGGGUCUGUAGCCGGCCGACUAAGUCUCUUGGGAAAUCUGGCAUCUCAAGUGUCAGGCUGCCAGGGGAUACUGGUCGGCUUGGGACCGGGAGAGGUGAGAGGUACCUCGGGGGUAGGGGUGAAAUCUUGUAAUCCUCGAGGGACCACCAGUGGCGAAGGCGUCUCACCA